rnacentral:rRNA from 1 species
CUACGGGAGGCAGCAGUGAGGAAUUUUGCGCAAUGGGGGAAACCCUGACGCAGCAACGCCGCGUGAGUGAUGAAGGCCUUCGGGUCGUAAAGCUCUGUCGAGUGGGAAGAACAUAUCUAUAUUGAAUAAAUAUUGAUACUGACGGUACCACAAGAGGAAGCACCGGCUAACUCCGUGCCAGCAGCCGCGGUAAUACGGGGGGUGCAAGCGUUAUUCGGAAUCAUUGGGCGUAAAGGGCGCGCAGGCGGCCUUGUAAGUCAGAUGUGAAAGCCCGGGGCUCAACCCCGGAAGUGCAUUUGAAACUAUGAGGCCUGAGUAUGGGAGAGGGAAGUGGAAUUCCUGGUGUAGCGGUGAAAUGCGUAGAUAUCAGGAGGAACACCGGUGGCGAAGGCGACUUCCUGGACCAAUACUGACGCUGAGGCGCGAAGGCGUGGGGAGCAAACAGGAUUAGAUACCCGCGUAGUC